rnacentral:rRNA from 1 species
CUCUACGGCCAUACCACCCUGACUGUGCCUGAUCUUGUCUGAUCUUGGAAGCUAAGCAGGGUCAGGCCUGGUUAGUACUUGGAUGGGCGGACAUUCGUGGUAGGAAGGC